AAAGGAAUAGACGGGGGCCCGCACAAGCAGCGGAGCGUGUGGUUCAAUUCGAUGCAACGCGAAGAACCUUACCAGGGCUUGACAUGCACGUGGUAGCGACGCGAAAGCGAAGUGACCCUUCGGGGAGCGUGCACAGGUGCUGCAUGGCUGUCGUCAGCUCGUGCCGUGAGGUGUUGGGUCAAGUCCCACAACGAGCGCAACCCUCGCUGCUAGUUAGAUCUCUCUAGCGGGACCGCCGGCGAAAGCCGGAGGAAGGAGGGGAUGACGUCAAGUCCGUAUGGCCUUGAUGUCCUGGGCUACACACACGCUACAAUGGCCGGUACAAUGGGUUGCCAAGUCGCGAGGCGGAGCAAAUCCCAAAAAGCCGGCCUCAGUUCGGAUUGCAGGCUGCAACUCGCCUGCAUGAAGUCGGAGUUGCUAGUAACCGCCGGUCAGCCAUACGGCGGUGAAUACGUUCCCGGGCCUUGUACACACCGCCCGU
rnacentral:rRNA from 1 species